rnacentral:misc_RNA from 1 species
AACGCAAAUUGCGCUCUUUGGUAUUCCGAAGAGCAUGCCUGUUUGAGUGUCAUAAUAACCCUCACCUUUCUGGUUUUAUGAACCAGGAAUUGGUGGUUUGGACGUCUGCCAGCUUCACGGUUGGCUCGUCUUAAAUGCAUUAGUGGAAAUCAAUAGCGUGAUAAGUCUUCGCUUUUAGAACACCACUUUAAUAACCUAUUUCUCUGACCUCAAAUCAGGUAGGACUACCCGCUGAACUUAA